ensembl:snoRNA Snora81 small nucleolar RNA, H/ACA box 81
ACCUUCUUGUAUAAGCACUGUGCUAAAAUUACAGGAACUAGGAUUAUAUCUUGGUUUUUGUAAUAAUGCUAGCAGAGUACACACAAGAAGAAGAGUAACUGCACUGGAUUCCAAAGACUGGGGUGGACCUCUUUCUUAAUGUCCAGUGUCCUUUGUCAUAAGAUUCGGUGCAAUAAGU